rnacentral:rRNA from 1 species
CCCUUAGAUGUUCUGGGCCGCACACGCGCUACACUGAAGGAGGCAGCGUGUACUCCUGGAUCGAAAGAUUUGGGUAACCCGCGAAUCUCCUUCGUGCUAGGGAUUGAGGUUUGCAAUUAUCCUUCAUGAACGAGGAAUUCCCAGUAAGUGCAAGUCAUAAGCUUGCGCUGACUACGUCCCUGCCCUUUGUACACACCGCCCGUCGCUACUACCGAUUGAAUGAUUUAGUGAGGACUUCGGACUGGGACCUAUGCGGCUUUCGGGCUGCGUCGGUAUUCUGGAAAGAUGUCCAAACUGUAUCAUUUAGAGGAAGUAAAAGUCGUAACA